CCUACGGGUGGCAGCAGUGAGGAAUAUUGGUCAAUGAGCGCAAGCCUGAACCAGCCAAGUAGCGUGAAGGAUGACGGCCCUAGGGGUUGUAAACUUCUUUUAUAGGGGAGUAAAGUGAGAAUCGUGUAUCUUUUUAUAUGUACGUUAUGAAUUAGGAUCGGGUAACUCAGUGCCGGCCGCCGAGGUGAGACAGAGGAUACGAGCGUUGUCCGGAUUUAUUGGGUUUAAAGGAAGCGUAGAUGGGUUGUUAAGUCAGGUGUGAAAGUUUGCGGCUCAACCGUAGAAUUGCAAGUGAUACUGGCAGUCUUGAGUACGGUUGAGGUAGGCGGAAUUCGAGGUGUAGCGGUGAAAUGCGUAGAUAUCACGAAGAACUCCGAUUGCGAAGGCAGCUUACU
rnacentral:rRNA from 1 species